rnacentral:lncRNA from 1 species
AGCCAUUAUAACACAUCAUGGGAAACAUUUCUGAGCUGUUCUAUUAAUAACAGCAGUUCCUGAUUUCUUUGGUUUAAACUUACCUUUUUCACAUUUUCUUGUGACAUUUUCCAGAUAUAAAUUGUUAUGAUGAAGAGUCAUUCAUAGCAAGGGAAAAAGCUGUAAUUAUGUUUCUCUUUUCUAAAAGAAAGUGGGGCUGGAGGGGGAUUAUUUUACACAGAUCAGUGAAGGACACCCUAAUAAAGAUUGGUCUGGAACAUUUCUUUUUAUGACAAUUGACUUAUCGGCAAGAGUCAUUGUAGCAAAUCUGGAAAUUACAUAAUUGCCAGAAACUGUAGAUAUUUGACUUGGCAAGAACUUUAGGUGUCUCUGAUUUAUUAUUGUAAGAAUUUGGCUAUAUUUAACUACAUUGUCACUACUACUGUAACACAAAUAAACUAAACUGAAAACGUCCGGGAUGGCAAACUGGCACAGACAUCAAUCUGCAUGAAAGUAUUGAUUUCAACAGCUAAACACUCGUCUUCUCCACUCCACUGUGUUCUGCACUUCGAUCAAGUUAUUUGUGGGUCAUUCACUUUAUUAGACCCAGGCACAACAAUUAAAUGUAAAGGUAAAAAAAAAAAAAAAAGCUUGUUAUUUUUUGAUCUGUCCUUCAAAAGGCAGUGAAGUCUUUCCAAGUAACAACACCUAAAGGCAUUAAGCAAGGCCAAAAUUACAAGAAAUGUGGGUGACCAAGAUCAGAGUGGUGAAGCGGGAACAUUAAGAACUUAGAUUUGGAGGAUUUGCAGACCACAGCAAUUCCGAAAACACCCAUAAUUAUUCUUUGUAUCAGAAGAGCAGGUCACCACACAGUAGAUUAAGGUGAAUGUCUUUGCUUAAACCAUUUGCAUCAAAGAGAUUUACUUUGGCAAGUCCUCCUGGAGAAGUUUCCCCUUUGAUAAAGUUCAGUCUCUCUUGCUGGAGAAAAUGCUGUUUCCUGAAAAUGGAUUAUAAUCUACUCUUUAAUAUCUCCUUAUGUUUCUCAUGUUUAUCUUACUACCCCAUGGAGGAGCUGCUAAGAACAUCCCACAGUUUAUCUGUCUUGGCGUUCAGCAGGGCGGCAACAGCAGGAAUCAAUGGCACUGCUGCUGCUCUGCUCGGCCAUUGUAAAGGGAAAAAAAGUCCUACUGCUGUGUGAGAUCCACAUUCCUAUCUUCCAGAAGACACAUGUGCUGGCACCACCAUCGUCCAUCAGACCAGAAGAUUGAGUCUGCUGUCAGGUCAGAGCUUCUCUGCUGGCAGUUGG